UCACGACACCCUCGCGGCGAGUGGUUCCUGCCGCAUCCUGCGCAGCCCCUACCCAGUUUGGUGCAGAGGCGUGGGGGGCGGGACUCGUCUUUUCCAUUCGGAUCGCGGGGAAAGCGGUGAGAAUCCAAGUGAGGAGCCGCCAGAGGAGAGCUGAGGAGAAGAGAGAGAGGUCGACGACCUGGGCCCUGGGCCGCUGAAGGCAAGUGGGGGUGCGUGAGGUUGGGGUGGUCCGCCGGGGUGGUCCGCCAGGGUGGACCGGCUGGCAGCCUGCCCCGCCGACCCUGACAGCCUGGCAAGGAGGAGACGAUCCGGUCGGAGCCGGGGGCCGGAGAGAGGAGCGCAGUGCCCGAGACCCCUGGCGAUGGGAGGCGGUGACCGGUGAGGGCCGGGCCAGGCCAGGCCAAGGGCUGAGGGGCUGGCUUGAGAGGCACCGUCAGCUCGUCUGGAGGAGAACCGCUCUGACAGCUUCCCAACGAGCUUUGCAGGCGCCGGCGCUCCGCCCUCGACGGUCUAUUCCCGGAAGGGGCUGUGGGGGAGGCUCCUUCGGGAAAAUGGCGGAGCGGGAGCCAUUGUAGGGGGCGCCUGGGAAGGUUGGUGGGGGCCGGCGUCCCAGCUCUGUGCCCAGCCCGCGAGAGGUGGGCCGCAUUCACUACUCCGGGCCCUGAUUCCGGAAAGGGGCUUGUGGGACCCUUUUCCUGGGUGCUGUCCCUUCCCACAGGCUCCAGGUGGUUGUCAAAGUCUCCUGUCUGCGGGGAAAGGAGGUGUAACUUCUGUUGGGAAAAUGACUGACUUCAAAGUUGGCAGGAGGUGUAAUCAGGCUGCAGGUCUUGGGGUGAUUAGGGAAUCAUUGAGGAGGAGCAGACAGGUCUGUUCCUUUCUAGGUUCCUGUAGAGAUCUGUAUGUAGCUGUUCACUUGGAAGUUAAUUAAGAAAGAGAACAAAAACUGUUCAUUUGGAUUCAAGGUCCAUCUCCACUGGUAGCUGUGGUGGCUUUGGAUUGUUGGAAGACCAUCGCCUUCAGCAGGUCUGCACUUGGGAACAAUCAUUCUCCCCCAUCCCGAGCGUGCCUCUGCCCUCUGUAUCGUUGACAGAGGCUGUAUGUUUGGAAAGAGAACUUUGUGACUGCAGAACUGACAGUUGACUCUAACUCUUGUUACCAAGUUUUUCCAUUACCCAGUGAAAGAGUGUUAAGACUUCGACCUAGGACACAUUGAGAACCAAGGCCAAGACUGGACAGGGC
rnacentral:lncRNA from 1 species